UUGCCAGCCGCCGCGGUAAUAACCGCGCCUCAAGUGGUAGUCACGUUUAUUGGGCCUAAAGCGUCCGUAGCCGGUUUGAUAAGUUUCUGGUGAAAUCCACUAGUAGACUAGUGGAACUGCUGGAAAUACUAUCAGGCUUGAGACCGGGAGAGGUUGGGAGUAUUCCACGGGUAAGAGUAAAAUCUUUUAAUCCGUGGAGGACCACCUGUGG
rnacentral:rRNA from 1 species